rnacentral:rRNA from 1 species
UACGUAGGGUGCGAGCGUUAAUCGGAAUUACUGGGCGUAAAGCGUGCGCAGGCGGUUGUGCAAGACAGAUGUGAAAUCCCCGGGCUCAACCUGGGAAUUGCAUUUGUGACUGCACGGCUAGAGUGUGUCAGAGGGGUAGAAUCCACGUGUGAGCAGUGAAUGCGUAGAGAUGUGGAGGAAUACCGAUGGCGAAGGCAGCCCCCUGGGAUAACACUGACGCUCAUGCGACGAAAGCGUGGGAGCAAACAGG